GCGAUACAAACUGCCAUUAAACUCCGGAAUUCGACACCCUUGACACAAGGAAAGAAGAGCAAAGGGGGGAGAGAGAGAGAGAGAGAGAGGUGAAGCAAAUGAUUGAACAUAUCAUCAAGAAAAGAUUGAAGAGUGAAGAACAAAUGAACGUGAUUAUGAACCGCCGGCGGGUAGUGGCGGCGUGGGCCAUAGCAAGGGAGUCAGCUUUAACGGCAGAGUCGGUGUGGUGUACAGGCAGUCUCGUCAAUCCCUAUCAACUCUGAUGUCUAAGUAGAAUUUUACUCUAUUAUUUCGUACUGUGCCAGGUGUUUUCUCGAGUCUUGUGUAUGUCGGCACAGAAGUUUUUGUUUAUUUAUUUAUCCUGUGACCGCUGUGUUAGCGGGGUACCCAUAGUGCAUGCAUGUCUUGAGCUUUGCUUCCGCUGUUCUUAUUUUUUGUGUAUGCAUGCCAGGGUGGUCUUUGUCUGGUGUCUCAUUCUUUUCUCCUCCCGUAGGCGCUCCCGUUCGGGUAGUCCGGGCGGCUGGGAUAUCCGGGCGGGGGUGCUUACAGU